rnacentral:rRNA from 1 species
UACGGAGGGUGCAAGCGUUAAUCGGAAUUACUGGGCGUAAAGGGUUCGUAGGUUGUUAUUCAAGUUAUCUGUGAAAUCCCUUGGGCUUAACCUGGGAAGGUCAGCUAAAACUGAGUAACUCGAGUAUUGGAGAGGUAGUGGAAUUUCCGGUGUAGCGGUGAAAUGCGUAGAGAUCGGAAGGAACACCAGUGGCGAAGGCGGCUACCUGGCCAAAUACUGACACUGAGGAACGAAAGCGUGGGGAGCAAACAGG